CAAUGCUUUGCUUUGGGGUCCUGAGAGCGACAUCCUGGGGAGAAGGGAGGGGUGUCUCGCGCGGGGAGCUCCGCACUCAGGUUGCCGGGGACCGGUGUGGGGUGUGCAAGCCCUGGCUGGCACCCUCGGAUCAUCGGGGACCACGUGGCCGGUGCCCGCCCCCUUUCUCUAGGCCGGUGCGCAAAACGUGGGAUGAGCAGAGCCCGGAACCUGGCGUCAGGGCUCUGGUUUCUGGUCGGCGGAAUCUAAGCUCAGGGCAGAGUGCAACCGGACCGCGGCUGAUGGGCUCGGAUUGCUAUGGCAACGAGGCCCGGGAAGCAGCAGGGCUGGCAAUGGAGGGAGGAGCGCGAGGGGUGUCGUGGGCCCGCGUGGGGUCGCUCGGGUCGCCAUUCCUCUGAAGACUGGAGACCCUCAGGCCCCAUCGGACUCCUCGCUGUCGGGGGACCUGGGGACGCGGUGGACCCCGGCGGUUCCUGGCCUGGAAUCGUGAGCGCUGCCACCAUGCUGAGCUCUGAGCAGGCCCUGAACAAGCUGCUGAUGCGCAAGGAGGAGGAGUGGCGUGUGCUGCAGGCCCAGCGGAGCCAGCUGCAGGAGACAGCUCUGCAGGACACUCAGCGCCAGCUGGAGGAGGCAAGGGAGAAGUUACGGCGCCUUCAGGAGGACUUCGUUUACAACCUACAGGUGCUGGAGGAGCGGGACCGUGAGCUGGAGCGCUAUGACGCUGCGUUUGCCCAGGCCAGGGCCCAGGAGGAGGCCAGGCAGGCAGAGGUGAGCGAGCUCAAGAUAGAGGUGGCCAAGCUGAAGCAGGAGCUCGCCAGAGAGGCCAGACGUGUGGAGGAGCUGCAGGAGCAGCUGCGGCUCAGGUUGCAGGAGCAUCGCCUGGAGCUGGGCCGCAUCCAGAGUGACAAGAACGGCGAGAUCGACCACCAGCGGGAGCAGUACGAGAACCUGAAGUGGAGGCUGGAGAGGACGCUCGAGGAACUCGAUGGCGAACUUGCUCUGCAGAGACAGGAGCUGCUGCUGGAGUUUGAAUCCAAGAUGCAGAAGAAGGAGCAUGAGUUCCGCCUGCAGGCCGACAGCAUGAGCAGCACAGUCUUGGCCCAUGAGCUCAAGGUUAAACUACUGAGCAAAGAGCUGGAGGCACUGAGGGCCGCGGGAGCUCAGGCGGCCGAGUGCCUGCAGAGAGCAGAGGCAGCGAACGCCAAGCUAGAGCAGAAGCUGGAGGGCUGCGGCUGGGAGCUCCGGGACCUGGAAGCCGUGAAGGACGCCCGGAUAAAGGACCUAGAGGCGACACUUCACUCUGCACAGCUGGCCAGGAAGAAAGACGAGGAGACGUUCAACAGGAAACACGAGGAGCUUGACCGUCUGGCCAGAGAGAGAGACGCCGCGCUGGUGGCGGUGAAGGGCGCCCACGCGGAGCAGCUUCGGGCGUCGCAGGCCAGGCUGCAGGAACUCCAGGCCCACUGCGAGAGCCUCGACGGGCAGCUGCGCAGGGCCGAGUGGGCUCAGGCGNNNNNNNNNNNNNNNNNNNNNNNNNNNCGCCCUGAGGGUCGGUGCCCUUUGUGUGCCGGCUUGCUGGUCAGACCAGGGAAGCGGCAGCGGCCAGCUGGGUGCACCUUCCUCUCAGCAGCCCUGCCUUUUCUCGUUUCUGAAGUUGUGUGGUUUGCAUGUGUAGGUCAGUGCACUUACCAUUUGUGGGAAGGGAUAUGCAGUAUGCAAUUUACCUUUCUAACCGCUUCCAGGCGCACGGGCCGCUGGGAUCAGUCACGCACACUGCCGUGCUUGUGCUACCUGCACCGCCCCUCCAGCCCUCUCCCCCAGCUGAGCCUCAGUGCCUAUUCAACGGCUCUGUGUCCCCUCCUCUGA
rnacentral:lncRNA from 1 species